GGAUGUGAGGGCUACCUGGCUGUGACAUCUGAUCACCAGGGUGGAUGUGGCUGAUCUGGCUGCCAAGGUGCCUCUCUCAGUGUUCCUUGUGCAUCCCUCCCAAAGCUACAUGUUCCUUAAACUGACAGAACUGGAUAGAGGAGGGCCAUUCUUUGGUCAGGGGUAUGUGAGUAGCUGCAUUCCCUUACUAGAACCUCCAAAAAAGCGCUCAAGGUCCAAAAUGCAGGCUAUAGCAAAGCAGACAGGAAGAAGAUAUAAAACUAUUU
rnacentral:snRNA from 1 species